GACGUAGGGCGCGAGCGUUGUCCGGAUUUAUUGGGCGUAAAGAGCUCGUAGGCGGCUUGUCGCGUCGACUGUGAAAUCCCGCGGCUCAACUGCGGGUCUGCAGUCGAUACGGGCAGGCUAGAGUUCGGUAGGGGAGACUGGAAUUCCUGGUGUAGCGGUGGAAUGCGCAGAUAUCAGGAGGAACACCGAUGGCGAAGGCAGGUCUCUGGGCCGAUACUGACGCUGAGGAGCGAAAGCGUGGGGAGCGAACAGG
rnacentral:rRNA from 1 species